UCGAUUUGGAGUUUGUUGCCCUGAGUGAUGGGCUCCGAAGCUAACGCGAUAAAUCGACCGCCUGGGGAGUACGGCCGCAAGGUUAAAACUCAAAUGAAUUGACGGGGGCCCGCACAAGCGGUGGAGCAUGUGGUUUAAUUCGAUGCAACGCGAAGAACCUUACCUGGUCUUGACAUCCACAGAAUCUUGCAGAGAUGCGAGAGUGCCUUCGGGAACUGUGAGACAGGUGCUGCAUGGCUGUCGUCAGCUCGUGUUGUGAAAUGUUGGGUUAAGUCCCGCAACGAGCGCAACCCUUAUCCUUUGUUGCCAGCGAUUAGGUCGGGAACUCAAAGGAGACUGCCGUUGAUAAGGCGGAGGAAGGUGGGGACGACGUCAAGUCAUCAUGGCCCUUACGACCAGGGCUACACACGUGCUACAAUGGCGUAUACAAAGGGAGGCGACCUCGCGAGAGCAAGCGGACCUCAUAAAGUACGUCUAAGUCCGGAUUGGAGUCUGCAACUCGACUCCAUGAAGUCGGAAUCGCUAGUAAUCGUGAAUCAGAAUGUCACGGUGAAUACGUUCCCGGGCCU
rnacentral:rRNA from 1 species